rnacentral:lncRNA from 10 species
CUUUAUAGCACUUUUCUCAACAUCUGUAGGUGGCUUAGUCCUCUAGCCUGCUCUUUCACUGGAUACCUGUGUCUGAGUGCAUUUGUUCAUCCAUCGUUUGGCCAGGGUCUGUGGGUCAGACCUGGCAGAUGGUACCCCAUGAGAGGAAUGCUGCAACCAUCAUGACAGAACCCUCAAAAACGAAGGUGAAGAAGAAUGCACAGUCACAUGAUGCAUCAAACCAUGGGGUUACUAGGACCCAACCCAGAAAUAAAGAAAAUGACCCUACAGGACCCACAGCUGCGGUGAUGCAGCUUCUGUGGAUGACACAAGCCCUGGAGGAUGCUGAAGAGGAUCACUCAGGAGGCUGAGCGAAUCUUGCUCUGGACACAGACACCAUUUACUCCAUGAUGCAAAGCCGGAAUAUGAGCAGUGACUGCCACCCCUGACAGACCUGUUGCAUCUGUACUCUUCACUCAACAAAAUCUGAUGCAAAAAAAACAGAAACGGGGGAGAUGUAGCAAUUUGUUCAGGGUGGUGGGAGAAAUUAUAAGAGGAAAUUAUAUGAAAAACACAAACUUUCUUGGAAGGACAGGUUUUGAAAAAGCUUUAGGAAAGGUUUAUGGCUGAAGGCAGCCUGAUCCUCUUACCUUGAGCUAAUAGUAAAAAGCAAAUAACAUCAGGAGGCCAAGGCAGGCGGAUCACGAGUUCAAGAGUUUGAGACUAUUUUGGCCAACAUGGUGAAACCCCAUGUCUACUACAAAUGCAAAAAUUACCUGGGUGUGGUGAUGCGCACCUGUAAUCCCAGCUACUCAGGAAGCUGAGGCAGGAGAAUCACUGGAACUCAGGAAGAGGACGUUGCAGUGAGCUGAGAUCAUGCAACUGCUCUCCAGCCUGGCAAUAGAGCAAGACUGUCAAAAAAACAAAAAAGCAAAUAACAAGG